UCUCCGUUGGUGAACCAGCGGAGGGAUCAUUACCGAGUUUACAACUCCCAAACCCCAUGUGAACCUUACCAAACGUUGCUUCGGCGGGAUGCCCCGGGCGCGGGCCGCAAGGCCUCAGCCCCGGAACCAGGCGCCCGCCGGAGGCCCAAACCAAACUCUUGUUUUUGUAGAAUCUUCUGAGUGGCCUUUUAGGCAAAAAAUGAAUCAAAACUUUCAACAACGGAUCUCUUGGUUCUGGCAUCGAGAAGAACGCAGC
rnacentral:misc_RNA from 1 species